CCUACGAGAGGCAGCAGUGAGGAAUAUUGGUCAAUGGGCGGGAGCCUGAACCAGCCAAGUCGCGUGAGGGAAGACGGUCCUAUGGAUUGUAAACCUCUUUAGGCGGGGAGCAAUGCCGGGCACGCGUGCCCGGAGGGAGAGUACCCGCAGAAUAAGCAUCGGCAUACUCCGUGCCAGCCGCCGCGGUAAUACGGAGGAUGCGAGCGUUAUCCGGAUUUAUUGGGUUUAAAGGGUGCGGAGGGGGAUUUUUAAGUCAGGGGUAAAAUGUCGGGGCUCAACCCGGGCCGGCCGUUGAACCUGGUGAUCGUGAGUGGGCGAGAAGUAUGCGGAAUGCGUGGUGUAGCGGUGAAAUGCAUAGAUAUCACGCAGAACUCCGAUUGCGAAGGCAGCAUACCGGCGCCCGACUGACGCUGAGGCACGAAAGCGUGGGGAUCGAACAGGAUAGAUACCCUUGUAGUC
rnacentral:rRNA from 1 species